rnacentral:rRNA from 1 species
UACGUAGGGUGCGAGCGUUUGUCCGGAAUUACGUGGGCGUAAAGAGCUCGUAGGUGGUUUGUCGCGUUGUUCGUGAAAACUCACAACUCAAUUGUGGGCGUGCGGGCGAUACGGGCAGACUGGAGUACUGCAGGGGAGACUGGAAUUCCUGGUGUAGCGGUGGAAUGCGCAGAUAUCAGGAGGAACACCGGUGGCGAAGGCGGGUCUCUGGGCAGUGAACUGACGCUGGAGGAGCGAAAGCAUGGGGAGCG